UGAAUCAUCAAAUUUUUGAACGCAAAUUGCGCUUCCUGGCAUCCCGGGAAGUAUGCCUGUUUGAGGGUCAGUAUUAACAAAAAAUCGGUUUGGUUGUAAAUUGUGACGUUUCCGGAAUUUGGGCUAUCUUAACUUUUUUGGUUAAGGGGCUUAAAAUUGACCUUUUUUGCGCAUUUUUAGACGUGCAUAAAUUUUUUUUUAUUCGUUUUUUUUUUAUUGCAAAAUCUUAUUAAGUUGGAUUA
rnacentral:misc_RNA from 1 species